rnacentral:lncRNA from 1 species
CAGUGGUGCAAAGGAUAGGAGUGAGGUUAUUUUAUGCGUCGUUGGCAGCCGCAGCGUGGGGGUUUGAUUCCUGAGAUAUGCAAUUGGACUUUUUGUAUGCACAGUGUACAGACAGCUCUUGUUCUCUGACUUGUUGGGCACAUUCCGCGAUUUACCUCCUUUACAAAGCUCUAAGAGCAGGGCGAUGGGAGCCCUCAAAAUUGGGGUUCAACCUUUUUAUUUUUAUUUUUAUUUUGAGAAGACGACGUAACUAUGUCAAUUGUUCCCAACUUUUGGGCUUAAACAGAAGCGAUUCUGG